AACAGUUAAAUAAAAAUUAAGAUUAUUCAUUUCUUUUCUUUAUAAACUAAACUUUUUCGUUAUGACGACUUCUGAAAAUCCGCCUUAUUGUUUUAUAAAUAUCCAAGUAAAAAAAAACAGGUAAUUAACUAAAAUAUGAAUAAUAGAAAAAAAGUGAUAAUUUUCCUUCACUAGUUGAAAAAAUUUUCACGUGCCGGUAUGAAGAGGACAAAAAGAAUAAGAUGAAGGUUCACGAAAUGUAAACAAUAGGUAAACAUCUUAUUUAUUAUUUCGAUUCCAAGAAAUAAGCACUCAUUAUUAUUUAAAGUAAUAUUAAUAUCAGUGAUAAAUGGUGAAAUGAGGAUUAUGAUUUUCGUUGAGUUAUUUACAGGUAUUUAACAUCUCAUCAGUUCUGAAACACUGAAAUAUCUCCAAUGGACACAGUUAAGCGAAGGACAUCGUCUGUAAAUAUAGUAAUGGCAUAGAAAAUGAUCUGGAGGAAUAGAAAUAGUUUUAUUCGAGCUAACCAAGCAAAGCGAAAAACUAAAUCUUGUAAAGACAUUAUUCGCGUAUUAAAAUUAUUUUUCUGAGUUGAUUACUAGACAUAAUAUAAUGUAAUAUUUUACAGAGUACGUUUGAGCCAACGAUGCUUCUAUCAAAGAACUAACAAGACAACAAGAUCCGAGAUACUAUAUGAAGCUGUAACUUUUUUACUAAUUAGAUUUAAAGAAAAAAAAAUGUACAGUACCAGUACUAAAGUUAUUAUGAAUCUAUGCAAUAUUAGUAUUUACUAUAACUCUUUGUACUUCAUGUAUUUUUUCUUAAAAAUAUUUUUGUAAAACAUAGGAUAAUUUUGAUAUAUCUAUGGAUAGAUGCUCUUGCAUCUCUAUAGAUUUGUAUGCUGGAAACUAAUAAAUAAAAAUAAAUAAAUAUAUUUAAUUGAGUUGAAAAUGAA